rnacentral:misc_RNA from 1 species
UUUCCGUAGGUGAACCUGCGGAAGGAUCAUUAUUGUAUAACCGAGGUGCGAGGGCUGUCGCUGACCCGAAAGGUCGUGCACGCCCGAGUGCCCUCACACACAUCCAUCUACCCCUAUGUGCACCACCGCGUGGGUCCCCCUUUGGCUUGUUCGGAGGGGGGCUUACGUUUUCACACAAACUUUGUAUGCAGUGUAGAAUGUAUUUUUUGUUUUUGCGAUCACGCAAUCAAUACGACUUUCAACAACGGAUCUCUUGGCUCUC